rnacentral:rRNA from 1 species
UACGUAGGGCGCAAGCGUUAUCCGGAAUUAUUGGGCGUAAAGAGCUCGUGAGGCGGUUUGUCGCGUCUGCCGUGAAAGUCCGGGGCUCAACUCCGGAUCUGCGGUGGGUACGGGCAGACUAGAGUGAUGUAGGGGAGACUGGAAUUCCUGGUGUAGCGGUGAAAUGCGCAGAUAUCAGGAGGAACACCGAUGGCGAAGGCAGGUCUCUGGGCAUUAACUGACGCUGAGGAGCGAAAGCAUGGGGAGCGAACAGG